rnacentral:rRNA from 1 species
GAACCUACGGGGGGCAGCAGUGAGGAAUAUUGGUCAAUGGUCGGGAGACUGAACCAGCCAAGCCGCGUGAGGGAGGAAGGUACAGAGUAUCGUAAACCUCUUUUGUCAGGGAACAAAGGCGGGGACGUGUCCCCGGACGAGUGUACCUGAAGAAAAAGCACCGGCUAACUCCGUGCCAGCAGCCGCGGUAAUACGGAGGAUGCGAGCGUUAUCCGGAUUUAUUGGGUUUAAAGGGUGCGCAGGCGGUCUGUUAAGUCAGCGGUCAAGUCCCGGGGCGCAACCCCGGCCCGCCGUUUAACCUGUCA